rfam:Candidatus Jorgensenbacteria bacterium RIFCSPLOWO2_01_FTLL_45_25b rifcsplowo2_01_scaffold_692, whole genome shotgun sequence.
AAGCAAGUUAAGGGUAGGUGGUGGAUGCCUUGACACCAAAUGGCGAUGAAGGACGUGGCGUAACUGCGAUAAGCUUCGGGGAGGUGUGUAGCAACCUUUGAUCCGGAGAUUUCCGAAUGGGAAAACCCUGCCGUGUAAAACGCGGUAACCAGUGCGUAGCAUCGGAAUAACUAAUUCCUAAUUACUAAUAUCUAAUAAAUUUCUAAUGUCUAAACGUAAAUUGUUUUAGUCAUUAGUCAUUCUAUCAUUCGGAUUUAUUUAGAAAUUAGAUAUUAGAAAUUAGAAAUUCCGCUGCUACGCAGUGGAGCGCACCCAGGGAACUGAAACAUCUAAGUACCUGGUGGAAAAGAGACAAAUUUGUAUUCCCCAAGUAGCGGCGAGCGAAAAGGGAACAGCCCAAACCUGUCGAUGCACAGCAUCGGAAUUUCUAAUUACUAAUAUCUAAUAAAUUUCUAAUGUUAAAAUGCUUAAAUGUCUAAACGUAAAUUGUUUUAGUCAUUAGUCAUUCUAUCAUUCGGAUUUAUUUAGAAAUUAGAGAUUAGAAAUUAGAGAUUAGAAAUUCCGCUGCUGUGCAGCGGCGGGGGUUGUAAGGCGAGAACAUUCCAAAAAACUUCUGAAGCUUCGGAAAUUUCCGGAGCUACGGAAGUUUAUUUGGUAAUUGGUUACAAAUCACUUUGUUAGUCAAAUGUUCUGGAAAGGACAGCCAUAGUGAGUGAAAGCCUCGUAGGCGAAAACAAAGUGACCAAUCGUUCUUGUUCUUGAGUACCUCAAGGCCAAGAUAACCUUGAGGGAAUCUGCCAGUACUAUCUGGUAAGGCUAAAUACAUUUGGUGAUCGAUAGUGAACCAGUACCGUGAGGGAAAGGUGAAAAGCAGCCCGGUGAGGGCGAUGAAAUAGUAUCUGAAACCACUUACUUACAAAGAGCCGGAGCUCAACCGAUGCGCAGCAUCGGAAUAACUAAUUCCUAAUUACUAAUAUCUAAUAAAUUUCUAAUGUCAAAAUGUGUAAUGUCUAAACUUAAAUUGUUUUAGUCAUUAGUCAUUCUAUCAUUUGGGUUUGUUUAGAAAUUAGAGAUUAGAAAUUAGAAAUUCCGCUGCUGUGCAACGGCGAGUGACGGCGUGCCUAUUGAAGAAUGAGCCAGCGAGUUUGCAUGUGUUGCAAGUCUAAUCCCGCCAAGCGGGAGGAGGCGUAGCGAAAGCGAGUCUUAAUAGGGCGAUUAAGCAGUACGUGUAAGACCCGAAACCAGGUGAGCUUGCCCUGAUCAGGAUGAAGUUCGAGUAAAAUCGAAUGAAGGUCCGAACCGGUGAGCCGUGCAAAACUCUCGGAUGAAUUGGGGUAAGGAGCGAAAAACUAAUCGAACUUGGUAAUAGCUGGUUCUCUCCGAAAUAGCUUUCGGGCUAGCGUUAAUUAAAUAGACUCGUGGGGGUAGAGCACUGGAUGAUCGUCACUGGGCGCAAGCUCGGACGAUCAAUCAAACUCCGAAUACCAUGAGUUGUUCAUUAGCAGUCAGACUGCGGGGGCUAAGCUCCGUGGUCGAGAGGGGAAGAGCCCAGAUCGCCAUCUAAGGUCCCUAAAUUCUCCCGACGUGAAGUCGGGACUCCGAUCUCCGCAAGGGUAUCGGAGUUGCUAAGUGUGAAAGGUGGUCAUUAUCCAUAAACAGAUAGGAGGUUGGCUCAGAGGUAGCCAUCCUUUAAAGAGUGUGUAACAACUCACUAUUCGAGGAUGAUGGCGCCGAAAAUUUACCGGGGCUAAGCAAGGUACCGAAGAUGCGAAUGUCUUGUGCUUUGCACAAGGAAAUUCUAAAUUCUAAUCUCUAAACUCUAAACAAAUUUUAAAUUCAAAAUCCAAACACUUAAAACAAAAUGUUUUGAGUUUCGGUCAUUUGAGUUUUGAUAUUGUUUAGGAUUUAGAAUUUAGAGCUUAGGAUUUCCUCGCGCAAAGCGCGAGGCGUGGUAGGAGAGCAUUCCUAAUGCGCUGAAGGUUGAUCCGUGAGGGCGACUGGAGCGUUAGGAAGAGAGAAUGCUGGCAUGAGUAAUCACAAAGUCGGUGAAAAACCGGCUCCCCGAAAAUCCAAGGUUUCCUCCGCAACGCGAAUCGGCGGAGGGUGAGGCGGCCCUAAGGCAAUGGCGAAAGCCGAAGCUGAUGGACAGCUGGUUAAUAUUCCAGCCCUUCCGUAUUUCAUAGUCCGAUGGGGGGACAACGCGCAGUACAUUAAGUGUCUUAAUGGUUUGGCAUCCUUGACUCGAGAGUGAGGCGUAGGCAAAUCCGCGUCUCUGCGUUUAGUCGCAAACUCCAGAGUAGAGGCAAGUGUUGGCAUACGUGUCGACGCAAGUUGAUAGAGCGCGCGUUCAAGAAAAACCUCUAAGGUUGAAGUAUGGAAUCCGUACCGGAAACCGCCACAGGUGGAUAGGGCGAGAAGCCCAAGGGGAACGGGUGAGUCCUCGUUAAGGAACUCGGCAAAAAAGCGGCCGUAACUUCGGGAUAAGGCCUGGCGCGCGUAAGCACGCCCGCAGCGAAAGUUUCUCUGGCGACUGUUUAACAAAAACACAGCUCCCUGCGAACUCGUAAGAGGAUGUAUAGGGGGUGACACCUGACCGAUGCGAGAAGGUUAACGAUGGAGGUCGCAUCUCACUAUCGUUCGAUGCGACAGAAAUAUGUCCCUCACUUUAUUCGGGACGAAAUUCAUAGAAAUUCAAUAGAGACUAACCUCUCCCUCCGUCUCCCUCCCCUAAGUCUUAGGGGAGGGAGGGGUGGGGUUAAUUUCGCGAAGCAUAUUUCUAUCAAUUUCUAUUUAUUUCUGUACGCACCGAACCGUAGUGAGGUGCGGCUUACUGUCCGAAGCCCUCGUCAAUGUCAGCGGUAACUAUAACCGUUCUAAGGUAGCGCAAUUCCUUUCCGGGUAAGUUCCGGAGCGCACGAAAGGUGUAACGACUGGAGAACUGUCUCAACGAGGAGCCCGAUGAAAAUGCGAUUCCCGUGAAGACGCGGGAUACCGACAGUAAGACGAAAAGACCCCGGAAGCUUUACUGUAGCUUGGUAUUGGUAUUAAUGUCUGGAUGCGUAGCAUAGUGGGGAGGCUUUGAAGUCCUGUUUUCGGAUGGGAUGGAGCCGUCAGUGAAAUACCCAUCUUUUAGUUGUUAAUAUCUAACCUGCGGCGCAAAACGCCGUGGAGACAGUGCCUGGUGGGCAGUUUAUCUGGGGCGGAUUCCUCCCAAAAAGUAACGGAGGAGUCUAUUAAGGUUGGCUUAGCCCGGAUGGAAAUCGGGCUGGACGCGUAAAGGCAAAAGCCAGCUUAACUGCAAGACAUACAAGUCGCGCAGGUGCGAAAGCAGAGCUUAGCGACCCGACGAAUCUUUAUAGGAAGGUCGGAGAUAACGGAUAAAAGCUACUCCGGGGAUAACAGGCUGGUUCCGUCCGAGAGUCCACAUCGACGACGGAGCUCGGCACCUUAACACAUUGGGGUGCAAUGAGAGUAAUCUCAUUCCCGAUCGCUGUGAUGCGAUCAAAGAAAAAUCUGACUUAUAACGGUGAACUCCAUACAGUGAAAUGAUAGAAUCAUUAUAUGGACAAUACCGUGGGAAGUUUAACUCAACAACAAAAAUCAUUGAUUGUUGGAACGCUUUUGGGAGAUGGUUAUCUAAGAAUCAUUCCAAAAAGAAAACAUGCUCUUUUGGAAAUCAAUCAUUCUUUUGCCCAAAAAGAAUAUGUUGAUUGGAAAUAUAAAAUAUUAAAAAAUAUUUCCGGUUCUCCGCCCAAAAUGCGGAAAAGUAAUGGAACAAGAAUUGCCUAUCGUUUCUACUCAAAGCAGUUAUCAGAGCUAACCGCUCUGCAUCAACUCUUUUAUAGAAAAACGAAAAAGGUAAUUCCUGCAAACCUUACCCUAGAUCCAACAAGUUUAGCAGUCUGGUUCAUGGAUGAUGGAAGUCGUUGUAAAACCAAUGACAUAUAUCUGAAUACUCAACAAUUUAGCAUUCAAGAUCAGAAAAAGUUAGUGCGAGCACUUCAAAAGCUCAAUCUAAAAGCGACUCUUAAUAAAGAUAAACAGUAUUAUCGGUUGCGUUUUCUAAAAUCUUCACUUGCUAUAUUGCGAAAAAUACUAGAUAAAGAAAUCAUUCCUUCAAUGAGAUAUAAAAUUGAGUUAUAACCCCGUAGAGACUUGCCUUAUGCAUUGGGUUGCAACGAGGCAGAGUUGGAAACAUGGUUUCCAGCUAACACGUCAGCUCCUUUUUAAGAUAAAAAGGAUGAAGAUAUAGUCCACGCUAUUAGUAAUAAUAGAGAAGAUGCGAUGUCGGCUCACCACAUCCUGGGGCUGGAGAAGGUCCCAAGGGUUUGGCUGUUCGCCAAUUAAAGUGGUACGCGAGCUGGGUUCAAACCGUCGUGAGACAGGUUGGUCUCUAUCUACUGUCGGCGUUACGAUGCUUGAGGGAAGUUGACCCUAGUACGAGAGGACCGGGUUGAACGAACCUCUGGUCUACCAGCUUUGCCACCAGGUGAAUCGCUGGGUAGCUAUGUUCGGAAGGGAUAAGCGCUGAAGGCAUCUAAGCACGAAGCCCCUCCCAAGAUAAUGCAUCAUGGAUUCCUGGAAGACUACCAGGUUGAUAGGCUCUAGGUGGAAGUCCCGCAAGGGAUGGAGCCGAGGAGUACUAAUAAAUCCCACCUUGCUUAU